UACGUAGGGCGCAAGCGUUGUCCGGAAUUAUUGGGCGUAAAGAGCUCGUAGGCGGUUUGUCGCGUCGACUGUGAAAACCUACAGCUUAACUGUGGGCUUGCAGUCGAUACGGGCAGACUUGAGUUCGGUAGGGGAGACUGGAAUUCCUGGUGUAGCGGUGAAAUGCGCAGAUAUCAGGGGGAACACCGGUGGCGAAGGCGGGUCUCUGGGCCGAUACUGACGCUGAGGAGCGAAAGCGUGGGGAGCGAACAGG
rnacentral:rRNA from 1 species